GUAGUCGUGGCCGAGUGGUUAAGGCGACAGACUCGAAAUCUGUUGGGAUAUUCCCGCGCAGAUUCAAAUCCUGCCGACUACG
rnacentral:tRNA from 1 species